rnacentral:lncRNA from 1 species
UGAUACUCAUGGCCUGCUUUAGGUAGACCUCCAACGGAUGAUUCCUAAGAUACUUGUUUCCAAAACCUCUGACAGCUAAAUAGAAAAUACUCAAGUUGUGUGUAAUUUCAUGUUUCUUUAAAAGCAAGACUACUAUGUCAGUACUAGAUUACUCUGUGACUUUAUAAGUAAAUAUCUCUUUUGUGGACUUUUAAAAACCUGUAAGAAGAAAGUUUCAGCUACUAAACACCCCACUAAAUUAACACUAGAAACACUAGAAAUGCAGGGAUAAACACGGGACAGUCAUUUCCUUCAGAGGAGGAGCCUGCCUUCAUCCUUCAGGUGGACUGGCGCAAAUGCAAGAUCUGCCCCCGCCCACCCACCCCCAUCCCGGCCACAGGGGACGAUGGUGCAAUUGGAAACUCUUCCCAGAGUCUGGCCACAGGUGGACUCAGCACCAAAUCACAGGGCACAGGAGAGGGGUCGCCAGGAAACGUCUGCACCUACUAUGCUGGAGCACACGAGAUGCUCCAGGGAUCCUUUGCGGAAGGCUGUGGGAGGGUGAGGUCACUUCAGGAAAUGGGAGCGAUCUGUAGCCUUCACAAGUCCUUGGGAGCCAGUGCGAAGGUUCUCCCACCUUCCUGGGGCAGUAGCGGCCCCGAAGGAAUCAACGACUGGCCCCGCUCUAGGAUCAAGUGGCUUUUCCACUUCCACUCAAGGCAGUACCCAGGCCGCGACUUCGAGCCCGACGAGGAGUCAGCCAGGUGAACUCGACUCUCCCAACCUGGCCACCUGAAACCAGUUUGCCCGGAGGCGUGGACGUGGCUGCACUCGCACUGGGGUCCCAACGCCCCUUCGGACUCCGCACUCUGCCCCCACACCACCGCCCCGGGACCCCCACUCACCAUGACGGAGACUUGGACGGCUUUGCGGGGCUGGAACAGGGGAGGGGCCGGCCGCGAAGAUCUCCCACUGACAGACUACUAAGGAGUCCGGGGGAGAAGCAGGGAGAGGCCCGGGGCCGGGAGGGAUCCUAUAAACCCCUACCCCGGCCACGUGUCAAGAGGGCGGGACCCGCCCCCGCCCCCGCCCCCGCGGCCCCGCCUCCCAGCCCUACACCGGGUUUUACCCUCCCGGCGGAGAGAGGAGGGGCGCGCGGCGCUCAUUGGUGGGUUCAAAAGUUCAAACCAAACUCGACGGAACCAGCCAGAAGAACCAGAAAAGGGAGGAGGCGUCCAGGGGCCGAAGAAUGGGCCGGUGGGGCUCUGUUCUACUGGAACGGUUUUCUUCUCAGCUAAACUCUUCUUUCACCCCCACACCAUUGCAGCUGCUUAAAGGUUUCCAGCCCGUUCCACAUCUUGGCAGAUUAUUCUACUGUAAGGCUUAUAGAGGUAAUUGGAGGGGCUUGCUCCUGGCCAGGGGACUGUGGUGGUGGGGGUGUGCACUGGCCCCGGGGCUUCAGGCUCUGCAGGUGCUGCCAGGCUCUCCUGAAGGCUGAGGGAGGAGGAGGA